GUCAUGAUAGUGUAGUUGGUACUAUGCCUUCUAACAAUGUCUGUUGGUGGUUGCUGGUUCGAACCCGGCUUGGGACC